GAGAGAGAGGAUGAGAGCGGAUUGAAACCUGAUUGAUAGACUGAUAGAGCAGAACAGAUUGAGGAGGCAGGUAGACUAGUGGUUAGAGUGUAGAGGAGGCAGGUAGCCUAGUGGUUAGAGUGUAGAGGAGGCAGGUAGCCUAGUGGUUAGAGUGUAGAGGAGGCAGGUAGCCUGGUGGUUAGAGUGUAGAGGAGGCAGGUAGUCUAGUGGUUAGAGUGUAGAGGAGGCAGGUAGACUAGUGGUUAGAGUGUAGAGGAGGCAGGUAGCCUAGUGGUUAGAGUGUAGAGGAGGUAGGUAGUCUAGUGGUUAGAGUGUAGAGGAGGCAGGUAGACUAGUGGUUAGAGUGUAGAGGAGGCAGGUAGUCUAGUGGUUAGAGGAGGCAGGUAGCCUAGUGGUUAGAGUAGGCCGUAAUUGUAAAUAAGAAUUUGUUCUUAACGGACUAGUUAAAUACUGGUUAAAUGAAUAAACAUGUAAAGUCUGACUGUGUCCUGGCUCUAGCUGUGGUGUGUUGGGAGCGGUUAGAGUUGGGUUGUCUGCUGGUCGUUGUCUCUCCAUCACUCUCACUGGAGCUCACAAUACGCUGGGCCUUCCGACCAGCACGCCUCAACAAUGGCUUCCUAAAACACACACACAGGUCAGAUAGAGACAGACGGGUCAGAUCG
ensembl:lncRNA